UACGUAGGGUGCGAGCGUUAAUCGGAAUUACUGGGCGUAAAGCGUGCGCAGGCGGUUCGUUGUGUCGGUGGUGAAAUCCCCGGGCUUAACCUGGGAAUGGCCAUGGAAACUGGCGAACUGGAGUGCGGCAGAGGGGGGUGGAAUUCCGCGUGUAGCAGUGAAAUGCGUAGAGAUGCGGAGGAACACCGAUGGCGAAGGCAGCCCCCUGGGCUAGCACUGACGCUCACGCACGAAAGCGUGGGGAGCAAACAGG
rnacentral:rRNA from 1 species